CGGGUGAGUAAUGUCUGGGAAACUGCCUGAUGGAGGGGGAUAACUACUGGAAACGGUAGCUAAUACCGCAUAACGUCGCAAGACCAAGAGGGGGACCUUCGGGCCUCUUGCCAUCGGAUGUGCCCAGAUGGGAUUAGCUAGUAGGUGGGGUAACGGCUCACCUAGGCGACGAUCCCUAGCUGGUCUGAGAGGAUGAUCAGCCACACUGGGACUGAGACACGGCCCAG
rnacentral:rRNA from 1 species